rnacentral:rRNA from 1 species
GGCCUUCGGUUGUAAACCUCUUUUAGUCAGGGAAGAAGCGAGAGUGACGGUACCUGCAGAAAAAGACGCCGGCUAACUACGUGCCAGCAGCCGCGGUAAUACGUAGGGCGCAAGCGUUAUCCGGAAUUAUUGGGCGUAAAGAGCUCGUAGGCGGUUUGUCGCGUCUGCUGUGAAAUCCCGAGGCUCAACCUCGGGCCUGCAGUGGGUACGGGCAGACUAGAGUGCGGUAGGGGAGAUUGGAAUUCCUGGUGUAGCGGUGGAAUGCGCAGAUAUCAGGAGGAACACCGAUGGCGAAGGCAGAUCUCUGGGCCGUAACUGACGCUGAGGAGCGAAAGGGUGGGGAGCAAACAGGCUUAGAUACCCUGGUAGUCCACCCCGUAAACGUUGGGAACUAGUUGUGGGGACCAUUCCACGGUUUCCGUGACGCAGCUAACGCAUUAAGUUCCCCGCCUGGGGAGUACGGCCGCAAGGCUAAAACUCAAAGGAAUUGACGGGGACCCGCACAAGCGGCGGAGCAUGCGGAUUAAUUCGAUGCAACGCGAAGAACCUUACCAAGGCUUGACAUACACCAGAACACCGUAGAAAUACGGGACUCUUUGGACACUGGUGAACAGGUGGUGCAUGGUUGUCGUCAGCUCGUGUCGUGAGAUGUUGGGUUAAGUCCCGCAACGAGCGCAACCCUCGUUCUAUGUUGCCAGCACGUAAUGGUGGGAACUCAUGGGAUACUGCCGGGGUCAACUCGGAGGAAGGUGGGGAUGACGUCAAAUCAUCAUGCCCCUUAUGUCUUGGGCUUCACGCAUGCUACAAUGGCCGGUACAAAGGGCUGCAAUACCGUGAGGUGGAGCGAAUCCCAAAAAGCCGGUCCCAGUUCGGAUUGAGGUCUGCAACUCGACCUCAUGAAGUCGGAGUCGCUAGUAAUCGCAGAUCAGCAACGCUGCGGUGAAUACGUUCCCGGGUCUUGUACACACCGCCCGUCAAGUCAUGAAAGUCGGUAACACCUGAAGCCGGUGGCCCAACCCUUGUGGAGGGAGCCGUCGAAGGUGGGAUCGGUAAUUAGGACUAAGUCGUAACAAGGUAGCCGUACCGGAAGGUGCGGCUGGAUCACCUCCUUU